UACGUAGGGGGCAAGCGUUGUCCGGAAUCAUUGGGCGUAAAGCGCGCGUAGGUGGCUAUGUAAGUCCGUUGUGAAAGUCAAAGGCUCAACCUUUGAAAGCCGAUGGAUACUGCAUAGCUAGAGUACGGAAGAGGCGAGUGGAAUUCCUGGUGUAGCGGUGGAAUGCGCAGAUAUCAGGAGGAACACCAGUGGCGAAGGCGGCUCACUGGCCCGAUACUGACGCUGAGGCACGAAAGCGUGGGGAGCAAACAGG
rnacentral:rRNA from 1 species